rnacentral:tRNA from 1 species
CUAGUAUAAAGGUAAAGUAUAUCUGAUUUCCAAUUAGAAGGUUUUUGGGUGUAAUAGU